GAAUUCUGCACCAACAGAAUUAGCACUAGAGAAAGGACACGUGUCUUCGCAGUACCCUUGUUCUUGAAGGAGUGCUCAAUGGGACUGCCUCCAGUCAUCUUCUCCGACAUCCUUCUCUCCUUCCCCUACUAGAUCUCCACCUGAUGCCUCCCUGAAAGGCAUCCACCAAGCGAUCCACGGCCUCCACGGCCAGAUCUCAGGCUCCAGCCUCGCCUCCAGUUUCCUAGGCUCCUCCUCCGACAAUGGCAGUCGGUAUGGAGUAGUUCGUGCUG
rnacentral:lncRNA from 1 species